rnacentral:rRNA from 1 species
GUGGAGCAUGUGGUUCAAUUCGACGCAACGCGAAGAACCUUACCUGGGCUCGAACGGCUCACGAAAGUCCUUGGAAACAGGGAUUUCCCGCAAGGGACGGGAGUCGAGGUGCUGCAUGGCUGUCGUCAGCUCGUGUCGUGAGAUGUUGGGUUAAGUCCCGCAACGAGCGCAACCCUUGUCCUGUGUUACCAUGCCGAAAGGCGGCACUCGCAGGAGACCGCCAGCGAUAAGCUGGAGGAAGGUGGGGAUGACGUCAAGUCCUCAUGGCCUUUAUGUCCAGGGCUACACACGUGCUACAAUGGGUGGUACAAAGCGCUGCGAAGCCGCAAGGUGGAGCCAAUCGCAGAAAGCCACUCUCAGUUCGGAUUGCAGGCUGCAACUCGCCUGCAUGAAGCUGGAAUCGCUAGUAAUGCUAUAUCAGAACGAUAGCGUGAAUAC